UACGGGGGGAGCAAGCGUUGUUCGGAUUUACUGGGCGUAAAGGGCGCGUAGGCGGCGCAACAAGUCACUUGUGAAAUCUCCGGGCUUAACCCGGAGCGGCCAAGUGAUACUGUCGUGCUAGAGUGCGGAAGGGGCUACUGGAAUUCUUGGUGUAGCGGUGAAAUGCGUAGAUAUCAAGAGGAACACCUGCGGCGAAGGCGGGUUGCUGGGCCGACACUGACGCUGAGGCGCGAAAGCCAGGGGAGCGAACGGG
rnacentral:rRNA from 1 species